AGUAACAAAUAUAUCAAUUCUGAAAUUUUAAGCCUUUAUAAAACUUCAUGCAUGGUAUAUCAUACAUUUGCAUUUCCAAAACAAAAAGAAGACACAUGGCUAGAAAUGGUGGUGUGACCUAUAAACAAAUAACACGUUUUUUCAUUAUUAUUGUUGGAUUUGUUAUUUGUGCUAUCAUUGUUGAAUCGUAUGACAAUAUUCCAAAAUACUAUUAUGGUCUUAGAAAAAAGGAAUAUAUGCUGGAAGUUUGUCUUCAAAGAUGCAAGAGCCGCUAUAGAAAUAAUCCGAAAAAGAAGAAGGAUUGCAUUAAGAGAUGCAAUGCUAGGUAUGGUCCUCGGGUGGAAAGUUAUAACAAUGGCAUGUAAGAAUUAGAAUUUAAAUAAAUCUUUAAUUUCAAUACAUAAAAGAAGAUUUGAGCACCUCAUCGAUCAGACCAGAAAAUGAUUCACAUUGCAAUACCGGAUGUUUAAAUUACUUUCUUAUUAUUUCAGUUAUCCUUUAGGUUUAAUAGUUAAAUUGUGAUAUAAGGCAAUAGUAGCCAUUAGACUACAAUCAAACGUAAUAAAAAAUUGUGAAGUGACGAAAUUUCUUUUACAUGCUCAUCCAAUUUAAAAUUUAUUUAGAUGAAUAAUCACAAAUGAAGAAAUAUCGCACAUUGAUCAAAUUCGAAAGCGAUUCACGAAGUUGAUUUUUUUAAUGCAUAAUAUUUGUUCAAAAUUUUUGCGACCAUCCGAAUUUCGUAGCUUCCGAGAUGAUGGGGCUUCUUUCACCAAGUUGAUUAGAGACCGAGAGACAAUUUAUAAAGACAUUCUAAUACUUAAGAUUUAUUUGAAUGAAUAAAUAAUUUUUAACCAUCUCUUUUCUUUGUCGUUGCUUUCCUAUUUUUAGAUUUUCUCUCUCUCCUUUCUAUCACCUUUUACACUCUCAUCGCUGUAUGCCACCCCCUUUCAUUGCCUACACGUCUAACUCUCAAGGUAAUCGUAAAAUAGUCGUCGCGCACCUGACACCCAACUCGAGGGGAAUCGUCGUCGUCGAAGGCAGAGUCGUCCGCCACCUUUCUCUCCUCUCUUGCUCUCUGAUUUUGCAACUACAACUUUCUUUACUUUUCUAACUAUCUGCGACAAUGUGACUGCAUCUCUUCCUCUCUAGUCUCUAGCCACUACAAAAAAAGAGGCAUAAAAUGGCAGCAACAUAAUGGAAGUUCUACAAAACCGCCGAUAUAUUCAUAAAUUGAGGCAGUUUAUGCGGCUACCGUAAUUCACUGGUAGGAAACAGCGGUUUUUUGGUGCUUUUGGCGGUUUUAAACGCCAUUACCUGCUCCUGCUCCUGCUUCACUGAUAUAAAAAGUAAAAACUCUUCUAUUUCAUUAAUAAACGUUGUCUAUUUGAUCGAGCCUCCAUCCCAAUGUGAGAAACCAAGAAGUUCCUCCAUCGCAACAUGAGAUCUGCAAUCUCAUCCACGAGGCUCUCCUCUGGCGGCAAGCUCCUCCAUCAACGCUUUUCUUCCAGCUGCGAUCUCCUCCAUCAGCGUUUUACUUCAAUUGAUGGAUCUGCUGUGUGAUUUUUUCUGCUCCACCGUGUUGUCCUCUGUGAAUCUUCUCCGUCUCCAUCUUCGUUGAAUUAGAUGAUGAAGAUAAAUUGAUUUGGAACUAUUUAAAAGAUGGAAGCUACCUAAAUAAGAACCACUUGAAGAUAGACAUCAUCUUUUCGUUCAUCUAGAAUUUGAUCACUAUGGACAUUUAAUUAUGUGCUGGCUGGUAAUAAACUUUGUAAGGGUUGUUUAUCACUAUUGCACACUUUGUUAGUAGCGGUGACAAUGAACCAUCCAGAAGCAGAACCAUGUGCAGGAUUCACGGCCGGAAUCAUUUUGAGGAGGCAUGGUGUUGGUGUUUGAAUAUGGAAGAGAAGAGAAGAUGAAAAAAUGAAUAAUUGAAUGAAGGAGAAAACAGAGUCAAAUAUAAGAGGGAGAAAGAAAAAAGAAAGUGUAUUCUAAAAUUCUAAAUCAAGUUGUGGUAGCUAGUUUUAGUUUACCAAAAACAUGACUAUCACGUUACUUCCAUGGUUCCAUGGCUUUCUUGCUAGUGCUCACUUAGUGUGGUUUUUUCAUCCCUUGUGUUACAGGUAUAUAAAAAAAUACUUUUAUGUAUAUUUCACUUGAUUGAUUUCAUGUUAAAGCUAGCAUUAGAUGUAUUUCUUUUUUAACUUUCUUGAAGCUGUAUCUUUUAAUUUUGAAUCAGCUAAUAGAUGUUAUUUUUCUCUUUAUUUUUGCUGUAAUUAUUGAAUACCACUACAAAAAAAAGGGCACAAAAUGGCAGCAACAUAAUGGCGGUUCUAUAUUAUUGAACUGUAUGGACUUGUCAUUCAACAAAGGUUUAAAAGGUCCUCUGUCUCCAGAGAUAGGAGACUUAAGCAAUCUGAAUAUUCUCAUCUUGGCUGGUUGUAGCUUCAGUGGCAGCAUUCCAGAUGCAUUGGGAAAUCUUUCACAGCUAUCCUUCUUGUUUGUUCAUUGGUAUUGACGAUCCAUAUGAACCAGCAAGUAGUUAUGAAGUAUGUAUUUCAGUAUUUAUAUGUAGUUGUUAUGUUGUGUGUAUACCUGGUAUCUUUGAAGGAGAAAAAUACUAAUUAGCUGAGAAAGCACUUCGAAUGCACUUAGUCCUUUUUCAUUCUCUGCACCAGCAAAUUCUAGAUUUGCCUUUAAGAAUAUUGAUGUCAUAGCUGUGGUAUCCAUGACAAAACAAUUAAGGAGAAUCCAUAAGGCACUGAAAUUACUUGGGUGAUCAUGCUUGUUUACAAAGGACUGUAUGGCGAAGAUGACUCAGUGAAGCAAGAGUUUGCAGCAGCUUCUAGUUACUAUUUACAAGCUAAUUCUCUAUGGCCUUCUAGUGGAAAUCCCCAUCAUCAGCUUGCCUUAUUGGCUUCAUAUUCUGAGGAUGAGCUGGCAGCUGCUUAUCAUUAUUUUAGGAGUUUGGUUGUGGAGAGUCGAUUUUCAACUGCCAGAGAUAAUUUGAUUGCUACAUUUGAGAAGCUCUACUUGCAACUUCUUUACCAAUUCGAGCAAUUGUACUUCUACAGAGCUCCUACAAAGAGCAGCAAGACCACAGGUUUGCACAAGAGGAAGCAAAUCUCAUCCAAAACGACACGUAUGUUACUUUAUGCAAUUUAAUCAGCACUAAAAUGUGUUUGUUGAGUUGAAGCUUUGAAGGGAAGGAUUUU